UCUUUCAAUUUUGAUGCGCCAGUUUGAGCAUGUCCCCCGGGCACCCUGAGAUCAUAUCAAAGGGUUUUCGUGGUUGGAUACCGCUGUCGAUCCUGGUGACACAGGA